AAAAAAAAAAAAAAAACAAUUAGAUGUCAAUAAUUAAUGUGUUAGAAAUUGUAUGUUAUCAGGAGUCGGUGUAUGAAUCUCACUUGGUUUAAAAUAAUCUUAUUCUUAUAUUUGGCUUAUGCCCGUUGAUAGAAAAAGUAGCCAUUCUCCCCAUUUUUCCAUAUUGUGGCAUAAAGGUUGAUGCUGGUCCUAUCAAUGGACAGUUAGCUUAUAAUGAAUUAAUGAUAAUAUCAUCAGCCAACAUAGUUGUGGGUGGAUCAUUUGCUAUCAGACUUGAAUUAUCAAAUAAACUGACCAACAACAAUACCGGAAAUAUAAAACCAUAGUUUAGAAUUAUUAUUAUAUAGGGGCCUUCCGUGCCAAGUAUCCAAACAGACCAUAGAACAUGAAAUUAUCAUAGAACAAGCCUCUUUACAAUGAUUCAGACAUUGAUAAAGAGAUAUAGCCUCAAUAAAUUUAUGCAAAGGGACUUGAUCUUGAGAGAGAUUGCACUGGGGACCUAGA
rnacentral:misc_RNA from 1 species